CUUUCCUCUCCAAACUCCAAAAACGAACUCUCUGGAGCUCUUUUUUUUCUCUCAGCACUCUAAGACUUGGCUCCUCCCAUCUGCUCUGGUUGGCAAAUCCUAAGAGUCUCUCUCUAAACUCCUCCCUCUUUCUAACCAUAUUCAAAAGGGCUGCCUGGCAUUCCUCUACAAAAUGGAGUCCUGCCUCACUCACUGUUACCCAGGCUUCAUCCCAGGCCUAAUAGGAGUUGCUGCAUGCAAUAGGAAUGUGAAUCCCUCUUCUACAUACAGGUUAAAUAUUGCGAGAAAACCACUCCUCAUAGCUUUAAGGCAGGUAUGGACAAUUUUAAUGUGGAUCCUUUAGAUCGGGUUAU
rnacentral:lncRNA from 11 species